CCAAAUCUUAAAUUCUAAAUAAAACCCUAACCAAAUCCUAAUCCAAAUCCUAAACCCUAAAUAAAAUCCUAAUCAAAUCUUAAAUCCUAAACCAAAUCCUAACUAAAAUCUAAAUCCUAAAUCAAACCCUAACCAAACCCUUAUCCAAAUCCUAAACCAAAUCCUAAUACUGUCACGGACACAAAAUACAGACUUGAAAUCUAACUAGAAGUUCAAGAAGAAGUGGCAGAACUAGAUUAAACAGAUGAGUACAAGAACAACACCAGAAAGGUGAGCUAGAACUCCAAGAGAUGUG
rnacentral:lncRNA from 1 species